GCCCCUAUAGCUAAGUGGAUAAAGCAUUGGAUUCCUAAUUCAAAGAUCAAUUGAAAAUUUUUGAUCA
rnacentral:tRNA from 1 species